UUAGACAUUUUUCAUUUAGUAUGGGUUUGUAUGGGAUCCCGGGCUGGGCAUCUCUGGAGCAAUGUGCAGCGUCGUGUGUUUUGCUCAGUGGCGCGUUGACAUCGCCAUCAAAAUGCUUUGACGUGGUUUUUGAUUGACAGGAAACUCAUAAAUAAUUCAUGUCAUUAAAUCAUGUUACAUUUUUUUUUUUUUGUUCAGCUUUCUGCUUCAUCUUCUUCUGCAGCAGCAGCAGCAGCAGUCGGAGUAACGACAAUCGCAGUCGCAGUCGCAGCUUCAACAUCUUCAGCUUCCCCACUGACGUUGAGAGUCAAGAGUCGAGAGCUGAGAGUGAAGAGUGGAGUCGACGGGGUCGGGGCCACGCCAUUGAAACGAGUUUCCUUGGACAACGACUGAGGCUGGGAAUAGGUGGAGUAGGAGUUGUACAGCUGGAGUGCUGGACAUUUAGCUCAGCUCAGCUCAAGCUGAGGGGCCCAGCAAUUAAAUGUGAAAACAGUUGCGUUGCCCACAGUCGCCCCAUCGAUGCAUGUUGCUUGCUGCUCUCGCUCGUAACUGAAAUAAGUUUUCAAUGAAUAUAAUUAUGCAAAGCAGGGCGAGCAGAAGGACGCGUCACACAGUUUGCCAGGACACUUGGCCGCCCCCUCGAUGGGUGGCCAAAAAAAAAAAACGCAUUAAAAUUACCAGAAAGAUGGCCGACAAAAAAA